rnacentral:lncRNA from 1 species
AGGAUAGGAAGUAAAAGCGUAACCAUGCUCUUUAAUACAAAAUGUUUAAAAAGAGAAACCACUUUUAAUAGUUUGCAGGUAUCCUGAGACUUCUGGUUUUCCAACCACAAUGAACUCCCCCUGAUGCCCAGACAUACCAAUUAGAAAAUCAGAAAUAGGGCUUGGAGCCUCAUAGAGGAAGGUGAGGGCGUCCUUGACAUGCCUUUGUUGAUUUGCUGCUGUUCCCAAGUAGAAAUAAAUAUUAGGAUGUUUGAGGACAUCUGGAGGAGGGAAAGGUGAGAGGAGCUGCAGCUGCUGCUCAAGGCCACAGCCAAAGGGGUUCCUGGACCAGUACAGACCACGGGGAGUCCUGCUCCUUAAGCUCCCCCCUCUCCUCCCUACCUGUCGGACCCUCCCUUCGACAGUCUUUGACGGGAGCCCCCAGGGGGAGAUGCUACAUUUAUUUUUCCUGCCUCCAAUCCCCCGCCUCCAGGCUGAUGACUCAGCACAGGUUAUUUCACUUUUUGGUUCUCAGCUGUGCUGUGUCAAGCAGAAAAGAUAAACAUUUUAUAUUCCUGAAGGCAGGGGGCUUAUGGAAAGAAUGCACGCAGGACGCCCAGCAUUACGCUGGCCCUUGAGGGAGAAACUGGCAUCAGAAAUUCAAGACCCAUUCUUAGAGGGAUCAGACGAUGGUGGUCCUCACUGUAAAAUGCUUUGCUGCCCCGCAUCGCUGCAGAAUGGAGUCUGGGACCCUUCGAAGCCCCGUUCCCCACGGCCAGCCCAGACAGAGCUGCCCCUGGCACGCAGGCAGUAUGUGAGCUUCUUGUAACUUCUCUUGCAGGACCUGCUGCUGUAUACCUCCAUCUGGAUUUGAUCAGCCUGGUGGCAGGGAGUGACGUUUCUGGGUGCUAACAGGCUGGAGUCUGGUGGCUGCUGAACGGUCUAGACAGGGCCUGUAUUUCCAGUUCACACAAUCCCCAGGAGACAGUGUCUGCCCUGGCAUUUCCUCCCAGGCUGUGCUCCUCUCUUAUGUUAUCUGCCCGGAGCCUGAAGACUUUGAGUUUGAGGUCACUGACCAUCCUGCCCACUGCCAGCACAUGGACCAAACUUAAUACCCACACCCGCUGAAAUGAGAACAGGCCUCUCCUUGAGGGCCACACCAAGCUCCUCACCCCUGGUCUCCAGCCUCAGAAGCCAGAAGAACAAUGUGGAUGGCUGGACAAUGAUGAUGGUCUUCUGGAAACUCCAGGCCUGGAGCAGGGGCCUCUGCCUGGGCCCCCUGUUCCCCAGCAUCUCUCUCCCUCCCUGUCCCCCACUCCUCUCCCUUCUACCCUCUACCCAUCCCUGCUCCUGUCCCCAUCUGCCCUCUCCCAGCAGAAUCCAGACAGCACACCACAAUUAUCCCCAAAUUGACCCGCCAUCAAAUUCACCUGAAGCUGGGGUCAGACUGCUUUCCCAUUAGUGCCCCCUUUCCAUCAUCGUCCUGCAUGGCAGGAGCUGAGAGCCUGCUACUUAAGAGCUGCACGCACCAGCUGCAGCCUUGCCCUUCUAAGCAUCCUUUUCUCCAGGUUGUCUUUUUUCUUCCUCUGGGCUGUUCCUUGACACUUCCUCCCGUUCCCCCAAUUCCUACAGGUAAUUGAAGGCUACAGAAGUAUCAUUUGAGUGACUCUGAAGAUGGUGCCAGCUCUCAAGACCACCCACGUCACUCCUCUUGGAAGACAGCAGCCCCGUGGCGGGGACUGAGAGCAGUUCACAGCACUGGAGGCCAAGCACUGCAACUUCAGGGUGUGGUUCUCAAACUCGAGCGUGCAGCAGAAAUACCUGGAGGGCUUGUUAAAACACAGAUGCUGGGCCCUACCCCGCAGUCUUUGAUUCAGGAGGUCUGGGGUGAGGCAGGAGAAUUUGCACUUCUGACAAGCUCCCAAGUCAUGCUGAGCUGCUGGUCCAGGGAACACACUUUGAGAACCACCAAUUUCACUGUCUGCCAGAGAACUCGAGGCUGAGAGAGUCUUCUUCAGACACCCCCCACCAACCUCGUGGAGGAGAGACCCUCCCUGCAGGAAGCAUGGCUGAUGAGUGGAGUAGGGCCGCAUCUGGGAUCUGAACCUGUGAACCCAGGCCUCCCAAGCAGAAAGUGUGGAACCUUAACCACUUGGCCACAGGCCCAGCCCCGAAGAGACCUGCCCUCAGGGUAAAGGAGCACCUCCCGGCCUGGG